rnacentral:misc_RNA from 1 species
GAUGAAGAACGCAGCGAAAUGCGAUACGUAGUGUGAAUUGCAGAAUUCAGUGAAUCAUCGAGUCUUUGAACGCACAUUGCGCCCCCUGGUAUUCCGGGGGGCAUGCCUGUCCGAGCGUCAUUGCUGCCCUCAAGCACGGCUUGUGUGUUGGGCCUCCGUCCUCCUCCCGGGGGACGGGCCCGAAAGGCAGCGGCGGCACCGCGUCCGGUCCUCGAGCGUAUGGGGCUUCGUCACCCGCUCUUGUAGGCCCGGCCGGCGCUUGCCGACACAUCAAUCUUUUUUCCAGGUUGACCUCGGAUCAGGUAGGGAUACCCGCUGAACUUAAGCAUAUCAAUAAGCGGAGGA